UGAAAACUUGACCUCAUAUUUAAAUCUUUGAUAUGUAUAUAUAUAUAAAAAAACACCAAAAUGAUUGUGACUGUUUUGCCAAAUUCCCUUUGACUUCUUUCCUCUGCAGGUUUUUAACACAUCAUUGGCAGAGCCUGUACCACAGGGCUACGAAGACGUCUCCGACAUUGUGCCUCCGUACAGUGCCUACUCUGCCAAAGGACAACCCGAGGGCGAUUUGGUUUACGUCAACUAUGGUCGUACAGAAGACUUCUUCCAGCUGCAGAGAGAAAUGGGCAUCAAUGUCACCGGGAAGAUUGUCAUUGUCAGAUAUGGGAGAAUAUUCAGAGGCAACAAGGUAAAAAAAAAA